AGGUCUCUUCAUCUAAUGUAAUGGAUGAUAAGUUGCCACUGAAUCUGAACCUGAGUAAUUUGUCUGCACUACUGAAAUAUUGCAAAACGUGAUAGCAAGAUCAAGGGACACUACAUUGAGCGAGCCAGCUAAGGUUAAAGUCUCGAAAGUUUUUUAGGUUGGUGACAAGCCAUCUACUUCAUUCCAAGUUGUAAGUCGUUCUGACUUUUAUGUGCAUAUAGGUUUUGCUAUGCACCUAGAUAUACAUCAUGUCUAAGUACAUAGUAAAAUAUAUGUAUCUAGAAUUUCAUCUACAUACAAGUAGGCAACAUAAAACAGUGAUCCUGAUGUCACAAUGUUUAAUGCAGUCCACCGCUGCCGCGCCUGCUCGCGGUUCCCAGGCCUCUGGUGCCCCCUCACCGUUGUUUAUAGUAACAGAUAUUGAUUCUUGACAAAGGAAUUGUAGGAUAUUGAGAUUGAUGAUAUUAUAUAUGUUUAGUUUCUAUGUAACCAUUAUAUAUUAAUAUUUUGUAUGUUGUUGCAACCCAUCCCCACUCUUAGACCCUUAUUAAUGUGAACAACAUCGAGGAAUAGAUGCGUAGGAAUCAGGCUCAUGUUGUUCAGGAGGUGUAUGGGAGGAUAACGAGAUAUGUAGUGCUCUUCAAGUGUGCAA